CGUAAAAACAAGAUAUCUCGAGUUACCCACGCAAGUGAAUAUUUCAAACCUCUAUCAUCAUUAGACACCAACGAGUCAAAUAAUCAUCAAAGCCAGACGUGUGAUUUUUCUAGAAAAUAUUGCAAUUUCUGAGUGCCUAUCCUAUUUCCGCAACGAGAAGCGUCAUCCCGAUAACAAAUCGGCUCGCGCAGCGUCACUCGAACCAUCUCUUACAUACACCAAUUCCCGGGUCUAUCUGCUAGGAGUAUCUCAAACUUCGUGAGAGCACAGGCGUGUCAAAGGCUCGGCGGGAAGAUAAUCAGCGGAGCCAGUGCGGGAUGGUUCCGGCGCCGAGCGAAGCCAGCAGCGUAUUUCAGCCGCUGAACUUUGCCGCCCUACAAAGGGUAGGAAACGGGUAAAGCGUGUAAAGGGCGUCUGGGAGGGGGAAGCAAGUCCAGGAGUUCGUAGAAGUGCGAUAAGUGCGACGAAGAUCGCUGCGGGGAUCGUGCUCUCGCAUCCCUUUUGAGCGAAGCAGAGAGGGGUAGAAUGGUUGGUAAAGGACGAAGGGACUCACCCUUCCUAAGGCCAAACAAUGACAGUGGAGGGUUACGAGGAAAGAACCGAUCAAACCUGCAGGAACGACGCUGCUCGACUACAACUGGGAGCGAGACGAAGAACCGCUGGCCGCCAAUCACGUGACCAAGAUUCGACGCGGCGUACGACGUAUGCGCGCUGAUUGGCCGCAUCUCACCCCCACCACGCACCUGGCUCGAGGACGAGCGUGCCGCGCACGACGGUUGCGUGGGUGGUGGGGACGCGAUCGUCAUUCGACUUUGAGCGCUGAAGCGGUAUAGCCGCGUCGCGGCGCGUGGGUCGCGGUCGUGGCCCUCCGGGGCCCCUCGAUCCCUCGUGGAAUGCGUAGAGGAGAAAAAGUGUGCGGCGUGACGGAGCCAGGAGAAUACCUGUGGCCUCCGCGAUCUAUCCUUCCGUGCAUUCGGCCGCACGCGGAAAAUUGGGCGCCCGUCGUGCGAGUGCACGUCGAGGGCACACUCCAUGGCCAUCGACCGGUUCGUAGAUACAUCGAGAAUGUAAUUGAAGUGCGCUAGACCGGCCGCUGGAAAUUGAGUUGUACUUGAAGUACACUUCGCUUUUCUAUCGAAGAUCGAAUGCAAUUUCAAGAAAUGGAAAACAUGAAAAUAGAACGUUUAGCUCUGAAAUGUCUUUACACGCUAACGAUAAAGGGAGUGGUUUGUGGGGUAAGCUAGGAAUUGAUAGGGAACUUCGAAUGCUAUUAUAGUACGUGAGUAGUAGAUUUAAGGAAUAUGUAGACAGAGAAGAUUAUCUUUCGUUAAGGAGAUACUCGAUAUUUAUUUAUUAACGUAUAAGGACCAUUAUCUGUAAGGUAUAUAUAUAUAUAUAUUUGUAUUUCUUAAGAUUUUGUAUCUAUUAGAAGAAUCUGUAAUGAUUUUAUUCCCAUCUACUUGUAUAAUUGAUUCAUAAUUUACUCAAAAGAACGAUUUGAUAAUAUCAUGCUGUACAAUUAGUUGUGACGAACGAGUAAUAUAAGGUAUGUCGAAAGGUAUGAGUAACAUAACAAGUAUGUUGUAUGUUAUAAUGUUACAUAGGUGGAGUAAGAAGGGUGAAUGAGAAGACGAGAUGCACCGAUAGUGUGCUUCCACCUGUCGGCGAUCACAGUAGGCUUUUUCCUCUGAAUCUCUAGCGCACUCGAUGUUUGUUGGCUCGACGGAAUCUGAACUGUUCAAUCUCAUUUAAAUUUAUUCUCCCUUUAUUGACAUUCUAUUUUAAAUUUCUUUCUAUUUGCAAUUCCAAUUAAAUCAGUUUCAACAAUUAACAUUUAUAAUAAACUAUAAUCAUUGAUUUUUUACAAUGUCGCGUUUUGUGCAAUCACGCAGAAAGGAUAUUUAAAUUAUUUUUUCCCCUUUUCUAGAAAACCUGUCGCGACAUAAUCGAUCGUUCGCGUUUCUCCCCUGUCUCUUCGAACGUGUUCAAUAUUCUCCCGAGUCUCUAUGAGUCACAGAAACGUCUAGACUCUCUAGGCUCUAGACUGUCUACAGAUAAGGAUCGUAAUACUUUGAUAUUACACAUGGUGGGUGUUAAUCUCUCAAUAAAUUCUGCCAAGUUACGUGUACCACGUCGAAAUUCUAUUCGAUAUACAAUCAGCUUUCAUUAUUACUUUUCAACGUUUCCAUUCGCAUUUGCAUGAAGACUUAAAACACCAACUUCAUACCCCAUGCAAAUCCCUUUCUGCAUAACGACUCUCGAAGUGUCUCCUGUAUAGUGGCCAAAGGUGUACGCUGUACACACUUCCACAUAACAAUACCUCGCUCUCAAGUAUCGAAUUUUAACUUAUCGAUUUUCCUAUGAGACGUACCAGAAGGGUGAUAUGAUUUUCAACACUUCUAAUCCCAUUGCAAACUUCGCGUUUACAGAUUUAUUUAUAGUAACUUCAUAAUAAUUGCAAAUUACCAUCGAAGGAGAUACAUGUAAUAACAAAAGAGAAGAGGAAAAGGUGGUCACGAAAGAACGUGUUUCCUUCGCAUAACAAACUGCUACAUCCUUUUUCAAAAUGACUCACAGUUAUUCGAGACACAGUGAUUACAGGAUAUUACGAGUUAUUAAUGUUUAUGUAAAUAUACCUACAACUCGUUAUUCAGUCGUCAAAUGACUUCUCUUUCACCGAAGACAGUCAUUUUCGUAAUCUAAACUUCGAUUUAUCGGUCGUGCACCACGUUCGUGGCCAACAUUCGAAUUCGGCUAUCUCGCCGAGGAUCGAUCUUCCGUCGACCCGUCACGUGUUUAAUAUACUCGAGUGGUCUGAUAAAGCGGCUUACAUCGCGAUACGCACCGGAGCCAACUUAAUUCCUCGAUAUAACCCUUCCGAGAAAACCCUUCCCUCUCCAAAUAACUUCCAUAUACCCGAAAAUAUGGCUUUACUCCGAAAAUUCACUUCUCCUUAUGGAUACAACUGUUCAACGUGUUAUUCAAUAGUAUUAUGCGAGUUUUGACGAAUUUCUGCAAAAGCUAUUAAGACCGCCUUAAAAUAUUCUGUAUACCUGUGGUUUUAUGGUGUUAAGACGGUUUGUCAAUGGCGUGCACGAGAUCAGUGUGACUCAUUAGCCUUAUAGGGUGCCGGUGGAUUACGUAGGCCUCGGCUGGUGGUCGGAUAAAAAUGUACACGCUGCGGUAUUCGCCUUUACUCCCUGCAGACCGACAUUAAUAUACGCUCCCCUUGCGUCGAAAUAUCAGAUUAGGGUGUGUGCAAUCCGCUUCUGCUGCUCCAUGGAUUAUUAUACCUCACAGGAAAAAUAAAGGAGCUUCGCGAAAUGGGCGCAUGUAUUUAUAUAGAUUCACAAAUCUUGAGGUACUCUUCGAGUCCAGGUUUAACUCUUAAUUUUAAGGAAACGAUAUGUAUAGUGUGACUAUUCGUAUUUGUUGUUGGAGUAUGAGUAUAUAGGUCGAUGGGGAUGUUUUAUCAUCACCGUAGAAGAAUAGCUCGUUUCCGGAAGCGUAUUAUAACGUCAAGUUUGUAUACUGCGAAUUUUUUAUUUAAUAAGGAAGUUGCGAAAGAAUACUUUAUCUAAAAUUAAGCAAAAUUAUAUACGACUAGUUCUAUCCAAGUUUAAUACGUCUAGUUUAAUCGAAAAAGGACACGAUUCUGAAAGUAUCUCUGGAAUAAAAUGAGCUUGAAUAGAAAUAACGGAACUAUCAGAAUAAGAUACAAUAAGUUAUUUUUAGUACAUACAGAAAUUGCGAAUUAAAAUAUUUAAAAAAUCGACCCUCCAUUCUCAUUUUCGAUGAAACGAUCCCUAGAUAGCUUGCUAUUUCAUGAAAAUUUAUCGCGGUUAUAGGGCGAACGUGAAAAUAAAGCGAGUACGCGUACGAUUUUUUCCCUUCUAACCCGAUAAAACUGUAUCUUUCGUUGCCACCGGGCUUUUUCAUUUGCAUUAGACCAUUGCACCAUUGUGGAUUGUUAUCCUGUGGUUUAAGUUCUCUUUUUAUUUUACUGUAUUCCCACUUUUGAAAGGCAAAAUGGAAAUUGGAAUAUAUUGUACAAUAGUUUGUACAUUAAGUUAAACGAUGGAAUCGCUUGCUGCGCUGAUAAAUAUUUUUAUUAUGAAAAAUUCACACACAUAGCUAAAUUUUUCUUUAUUUUGUAUGAUAACGAUUUACAGUAUGAUAAUACGCAUUUUUUAAAAAUAUGCAGAAGUCAAAUCCUUUUAUGGCAGUCAAGAGAUAUCUUCUAAUAAACACGUAAUCAUAAAAUCUAGAUACACUGACUACAAAAGAUAUCUAUUGGUCCUAUGUUUCAUCUUUGUAUCAUCAAAUUUCUGUAGUCGUAUAACAAUACCUAUUAUUAUAAAUGAUACGGAAAUUUACUAUACUUUGACUUAAUUAAUUAGUAGGCAAAUUAAAUGCUAUUGUAUAAUAACUACAAUAGUAUGUCAAUACUUUUUGUACCCAUAAGACGAAUCAUCAAAAAUAAAUAUUAUUAAAUAACUGAAAUUAUAUUAUAUUACGCUAUGUCCAUUUUGCAUUAAUAGAUUUCAGACGUUUACUUGAAUUUACAUUUUUAUAAAUAUGUACACAUAAGGAAAUGAUACUUAAGAAAAAAGCUAAAAAUUUAUUUGGAAAGAAAGCUAAAUAUUUAUUUCGAUCGUAAUAUAACGAGUAUUUUACUUCGAGUAUUUUUAAUCUCUAUGCUUAAAUUUUCCGUAAGUGUAUAAACGUUCGCGAUCUAUCCUUUGGUAUCCAUUCGAAAUGUAGUUACUUAAACACGAACCGCUCCGAGUGAAGCGAUUUACAUGAAUACUAACUCGAGUGAUCAGAACGAAGCUUUGCAUGCUCUUUACAAGAAACAAGCUAGGAUCUGUAGAUUAUACUAUGCGACUAAUCAGUUUCGAAGCACGCGAAACGCUCGAGUUUCAGUUUAAGCAAAUUGGACGCGUUUCCCCCGAGGACAGGAAGACAGCCGGUAACCUCCUCCGGUUAAAAUCGAAUGACCGUAGCGAAACCUCUUACCCUCUCGUUUCGCGAUCGUUAUCGAGUUUUCGGUGCAUUCUGCCGCACACGAUGACAGCCUAAACACGUUUCUAAGCAAACGAAAAGAAAACCGCUUCCACGGAACUGCACGAGAUCUGCAAUUCUGUAGCAAUGGGGCGCAGCCUGUUUUAUGCCUCGAUCAUUAUACCAAACGAUCCACGACGUGGCCACCUAUCCCCUUAUUGAAUCUAACUGCGCCGGAAACGAGACUGUUAAACCUACCUGUCCGUUGUAAUUGGACGACAAAGAUGGAAAAUUAUUUAGCGUGAAGCUGAUUUUAUUUGAAACUGAAUAGGUUUGGAUGUACACGUUCGUUCAUAAGAACGUGGACUUCUGGCGAAUAUUUAAGAAAUUAUUACAACCUAAAGAUGUUUAGAAUUAUUUGGCAAAAUAUAGUUGCCUUGCUAGAAGAACAACUUUCAAGAAGAGUAAAUUUUUCUGGUAAUUGUUUUAAAAUAAAAAAUUGUUAAUAAUUCGAUUAUUUAGCAAUUGAGAAAUUUCUUCCUUUUAUAAUAAAGUAAUAGUCUUUGGGUUUUGAGGUUCUCUAAUAAAAUAUUAUUUACGUACGCACAGUGGUUAUUAUCGAUAAAAAAGGUUCGAACAAUUUUUAAAUUCCAAAAUAUUUCUUAUAAAAUAGUAUAAUUUUGUCAAGUAAAACAAUGGCAUUAUCAUAUCACAAAAAAUAAAGUUCAGUUAUAAUUUUAUAUAAAAUUGUAAUUAAAUAUGUCUUUCUUUGAUAAUCUCUGUCAUAUUAUCACUUGUAAUUUCAUAUAAGAUCAGCAAGUGUUUUCACACUUAUGAAAGAGUGUGUACUCACGCUGUACACGAUUAAUUUUCCUCUCUACUCUUCUUUCUGUCUCGUAUUUGCUUAACCGAUAAUAGGGCCAAAUUGUUAGCCUGUCAGUCAGAUAGAGCGCAACACGCACACAAACACGGACGAAUCAAGUGCACGCUGCGUGCCAGUUUUAUGACUCGCCCGGGGCUGCCAAUCGAACGCGUUCGAAUGCACCGACGAUAGGAUCGGAAUGGCACGCGUAAUUUUCGGUGCUCGAUUUUUCGAAACCAGGCCGUCACUCUCGGCAUAUACGCACACGACGCGAGAAGAUCGAUACGGACGGUGAUGCUGUCGAAAGAAACGCGCUCGGAAUGGCGUGCAUCGAUGAAGAGGCGCGUUUGUCGUCAAUGAACGACGGAUGUGUUACGCGAAUGACAGUUUUCAUUUCGAGAUCAGACAGAGACCUUAAUUCCUUUCGUUUGGAUCGCUUUAUGCGAAUCAAUUGGCUGUCUUUUUCACCGUCGAGUGAUAUUUUUUCGUUGAUGGAAAGAUUAAUUGAGGGACUCUGAGGAAAAAUGCUUACUAUCCCUUAUCUGACCGUGCUGAGUAUCCAUUGGAAAAUUUUGAGGCUGAUAGACGCUUGUAAAUUCUACGAAGCUAGAAAAUAGAACUAGGAAACAGGAAAUUUCCAUUCCGAUUAUCUUAACGCCCUGAGGCAACAAAAACGUAUCAGCGUGUUAUAAAGCUACAAUUGGCAAACUUAUACAAUUGCAACAAAUAGAAGAACAUGUGAAUUCAGGGCCUUUCUUUGAUAAGUAGACUGCGAAUAUUUGUACAUUUAUGACAAAUUUAAAAGUCAAAGAAUGCAUAUAUGUAAUGCGCAUAAUAUGCAGAAAUAUAGAAAAAAUACAAAGUAUAGUGCUGGUUAUAAUAUUUUGUGGAUAAAACGAAUCAUAGGUUACUUAGGCUUUAUUUUAUUAAUUUUAUUCACAAAAAUAUGAAUUUGCAUAAACAUCCCCCGUCUAUUGAUAAAAUAUGUUUAUUUCGAAACUCAUUACUGAAACUCAUUAUCAUCUAUCUCGAGAUGACAUUUCUUAUGCAACAAUCAAACGACUUCGUAAAUCAAAAUCAGUUUUCAAUUUCCUUUACUUUACAAUAUUAUUAUCAACAAAAUAAUUUCUCUUACAGGGGCGGGUAAUUCAAGUGAGGGAUUAAAAGAAGCAUUUUCAGCGGCGUUUUUCAAGCUAUCGCGGCUGAAGGAGGAAAACAAAAAAGAACACGAUAGGAAGGUUGAAGAAACGAAAAAUUGCAGGAUACUAUUUUUCACUAGCGGACAAAUGUUUCGGCUCGGUGAAGUCACGGUAUGAUCGUAUUUACGGUGGAACACUUGUACUAAUCUAAUAAUGGAGAGAGAUAUUUUUCAUUUUUCAACCGGACGUAAAUAUUCAGAGAUAAUCCCACUCUAGACCUUGGUAAUCAUUAGCUAAAACCAAAUAUUUGUAGAAGGGUUGCACCUUCGGUUGAUGGUAAGAAUGCUGAAAGGAAAGAGUUACGAGGCUCGUGACACAUUUCUGAGUAAAAUUACUGCUUGCAAUGAUCGAGAGGAGAUUCGGACUUUCUAUUUAUUUUACGAUUAGAUGUGAAAUUAAACGUGUGUAAUGACGUCGAGCAGCUUUCUAGAAACGAAAGAGCAAUGAAAUAAGGAAUCUGUUGUACAUUGCCCAAUGACAGGCGUUGAUGUUUUUCAAAUAUUGCGCUUAUAGAAACUAACGGAGGACACGGUCAGUCGAAGCACGAACGCUUACCUCUUUAAUUAGGGUUAAAUCGUAAAACGCACACGGCUGACCUUGGUAGGUCCUUAAGCCUUUGGAAAGAGUAAAAUUUGCAAACAGCGGUCGUAAAGUUGAUGGAUAGGGGAAGUAUAAGCCUGUCUGUCCGUACCCUUUAUGAUCGGUUGACCGUAGCUGAAUAUCUGGAGUUCAUUUCACCCGGGUAGCAUAAGUGUGCUGUAAGACGAGUCACGUAGUAAUGUAAGAAAGUAUGUAAACCGGAAGUCGUCUAAAGCCGAAAGGCAGGGACUAUGUUUAAUAAAUAAUAAUAAAUAAAUAAUAUAAUUGUUUUAGGAAUAUUAAAUGUAUGUUGUAUUUCAAUUGCAUAUUUUGAUGUAUAUAAUUGUUUUAGGAAUAGUAAAUGAAUAACAAAUGA